CUUACCGCUGGUUUGGUGCUUGUUCACUGGGACGAUUCUAACUGGAACAUCCCCCCUCGUAAGCAAGCUACGCAAACCAGCCAAUAAGAUGCCAUGUUGAGUAGGUGAAGGCAAGACAAACUCAAACCAAAAAUCCAUUGGUUUAACAAUAAAGUGGCAAGGGGAAUCACCCAUAUAACCCUGUUACACCAUCAGGAUGUUAUAUUUUUCUAUGAAUCGACUGACAUACGAUAUAAAUUUAGCAAAGAACAUGAUACGUUUAAAUUUUGGGGUAUAGAAAGUUGGGAAGUUCGGUUGGUUUUACUUUUUCGAUAGAAUUUAAAGCAGAACUCAAUCUGAAUAGGGGAUAUAUAUUUGACAAGAGGCAGGCUGACUUGCGGCGUCAUUACGUUGAAUACACAAUAACGUUCCUCAAAUUAUGACAGAGAAAAUGGGUUGUGGCAUUUAGAGGGAAAAUGCAUGCAUUAUAGCUUUGAGUCACUUUUCAAAAGUGGCUAAAAGUUCCAAAUACAUUUUUAAAAAGUAACUGAAUAUCGUCAGGAUAGUCUGAAAAGAUGCUACAGCUCGCAACAGAAUUGCUAGGCGGUCCAUUGGGCUAUAUUUGGCUAUAAUAUAGGGAGGUAAGAAUAGUUGUAUCGUAAAAAGUUGUGGUCGUUUACCGGGUAUUGAUUUUUGGUUAGGUAACUAACGCCAGUGAAUUCGAACAAGAAGUUAACGUAUUCUAAACAUGAUCUGUUUUCAUUACGGGGAACAAUGAAAGGUCUACAAUAGGGUAUGGCUGGCUGGGCGUGUUUUAUUUUAAAGGGACAGUGCACGUUUAUCACAGUUGUGUGAGUGUAAUGGCAGGAUAUAAAGUAUUUUGGGGAGGCAAUUUGGAGAAAGACUGGAUGAGUUACAUGAAACAGAGGAAAUUUAAAACAAAUGAUUUGAGGGGAUUAUGGGGGCAGCAGGGUAGCCUAGUGGUUAAAGCGUUGGACGAGUAACAGAAAAGUUGCAAGUUCAAACCCCUGAGCUGACAAGGUACAAAUCUGUCGUUAUUCCCCUGAACAGGCAGUUAACCCACUGUUCCUAGGCCGUCAUUGAAAAUAAGAAUUUGUUCUUAACUGACUUGCCUAGUAAAAUAAAGGUAAAAAAAUAUUUGUUUUUGUAGUAAACGUUUGGGUUAAGGGGAUUUCCCUUUCCCAGAGACAAGAUAUUUUGAAAGGGGUACACUCACAUAUGGAAUAUUAGGAGUUUUAUUUUCUGAGUUUUAAUUAGACAAGUGAAUUAUUUUUUAAGAUAAAGGGUUCUUUAAUAUGUCUAAUAUGGUAUGGGACACGAAUGUAAAGGGGUGGUGUAACCUUGGACCAGGUUUCCAUGGCUCUCCCAGUUGGUCUGAUCAGCCACGGGGGGAGCCAUUUGAAUAAUGACUUUAUGGUCAUGGGUGAUACUGGUUUUUAAGGUAAAUGUAUUAUAAUGGAGUUUAUAGUACUGCAACAGGAACAGAAAUCAUAUUAAUCAUCGAUAAUAAAUGGGGGAGGAUGGUCCUUUGAGGUUUGGACAGGACACCGUUAUUAAGCCAAUAGGGCAGGAAAAUACAUGAUAGAAAAGGCGAUUUUAUAAGCAUAAAAAUGAUUUAUGAAAAUAAAUAAGUUGCAGUUCUUAGGAAUGGUAAAUUACGGUAGAUAAGUUAUCUCAAACUAUGAAACAUAUAUUAAAUUAUUGACGUGACUGAUUUUUAAGGUUAGCCCAUGUUAUUUUUAGAUAAAAUACAGUGGAUUCCCGAAGGAGGGAUUUCAUUAACACAGGAAAGAGAUAGGAUAUGUUUAGCAUUUGUUUUGGCUUUAAUUAAACAUUUUGAAUAUUUUUUAUUUAAAUAGUAUUAAAGUUUGACAGGGAUAUAUGACAUCUGUGGAGAUUUAGGAUUAGGGAUAGAAUCGAGAACCUUAAUUAACCUAUAGAAGGACUUUAGAAAUUGAUACCAUAUACAUGUUUUUCUAAAAAUUCCAUGAGUUUAGAUAAAGCCAAACAGUGAGACAUUUCGUUAAUAUACCUCUUAAAAGUAGAUAAGACACUUGACAGAGAAUUGGUACAGGAUAAAUAUGAAUGGACGCCAAAUGGAGAAUUGGACAUACAUGAUAAUGUCAGAACAUACGGAUAAUUUACUAAUCUUACCUAAGCCAUUAUUUAGAGUAGAUAAGGUUGUUACCUGGGCAGAGCCAGGUAUCAAAAAGGGGAUGGGUAUGUUGUGGUCUAGGAUAGGACACUUAGUGGCCUAUUGGAUAAUAAACCAAUAAUACAACAAAAAAAUAGCUAACAGGCAGGCAUAGAAGUUAAAGAUAGAACAUAUGAGAAACUGUUUGUUAACCAAACCUGUAUGUACAAGAUUUAUGCACUACAGGUGAACUACAGGAUAAGGUGAUUCACUCAACCCAGUCCCCGAGGAGAAUAGAAGGGAAGCAGCACAGUGGGGAGGGGCCAUACCAAGUAUUCCUGGUGACUGCCUUCGCGGUGAGGAUAGCCGAAAAAGCUACCUGGGUGCAUAUCACACAUUGUAAGAGGCUAUCCAAUAAAUAUGGCUCCAUCUAUGAUUCACUUUGGACCCAAGAAAGUGGUUGUUCUGGCAGGAUACAAGAUCGCGCUGGUCAACCAUGCAGAGGAGUUUGGGGACAGGGGAAUGGCGUCUGUGUUCUAAGAUUUCACCAGUGAACAUGGUAUUCUGUUUGUCAAUGGAGACUCAUGGAAGGAGACAAUAUGCUUUUCCGUAGCGAACCUUAGACUUUGGCAUGGGCAAGAAAGGAAGUGAGGAGGAAAUUCACUACCUUAUUUAAUUGUUAGAACUAACAUGAGGGUAAAAAAAAAUGAAUUCCCAAAUAAGAUAACAAAUAUAUACAUGUUCUUAGUUUUGCUAGUUCUCUUUCUGUUGGGCUUUAUGACAGGUAAAGCAUUUGACAACUCAGCCAUUGAAUUAUGCUGUCUCCAAUGUAAUCUCAAACAUUGUUUAUAGCAGCAGGUUUGAAUACUCUGACCCCAAGACCCAAGCCAAUGAGAACCUCAGAAUUAGUUGCUCUGUUUCAAUGCAGGUACAUGAUGUUUACUUUGUUUCUCACUCUUAGAGAAUAAUGCCAAACUGUUCACACUUGACUAAACCAGGAAAAUAAAAUAAAUAUUCAAUUUGUUGUAGGCUAAAUUUAUGCUUUACUUUUUGUUUAUGGGAAUAUAGUUGUACAACAUGUUCACAUGGCUGGGCCCUUGGCUGAAAACCAAUAAGCUUUUGUUAAAGAAUAUUGACAACAAGAAGGAAAUGAGGGAGCUGGUGUGUGGGCUGAAGGAGAACCAGAACUUCAACUGAACAGGGUCCAGGAGGAGAUCAGUAGCGUCAUAGGAAGUUGUCAGCCCUUGGUAGAGGACGGGAAGAACCUGCCCUACACUGAUACAGUGAUCAUUGAGACCCAGAGACUAGCCAACAUUUUACCCAUGGCCAUCCCUCACACCUCUAGGCGAGACAUCACCUUCCAGGGCAUCAUCUUCCACUUCAUCAAGAAGGGGAAGCUUGUUUCCUCGACUGACUUUUGUCCUACAAGACGGUAGUGAACGGGAGAGCUCACACACCUUUACCCCGCCCACUUUCUGGAUGAGAAAGGUCGAUUUGUCAAGAUGGAUGCCUUCAUGCCCUGCUCUGCAGGCAAUUCCAAUGUUUGUUUCUUAAUUUACACUAUCAUUCAGCAAUUAACUCAAUCAGAUAAUCUAUUGUGCUCAUUACUUUGGCCGAGAGAGAGUUGAGAGGAUGGACGGGACUGUGACAAAUAUAGAUACAUGACCCAGAGAGUUGAUGGUAUAGUUUGUUAUAGAAAUGUGUGUACAAUUUGACACCUAUUGAUAUGUCAACUAUAAGAAACCUAUGUAGACCUAAUUGUUAUAUGCUGUCAGAGAGAAUAUAGUAAACGGCAUGUGUCAAAAAGUGAUUGAUGAUCUAUUUUUAGUGUCACUUGUUUAUGCCCUUUUAUGGACAUCCUGUCCGGAUGUUCUCACGCUAUGGAAAUACUGUCCGGAUGUUCUCACGCUAUGGAAAUCCUGUCCGGAUGUUCUCACGCUAUGGAAAUCCUGUCCGGAUGUUCUCACGCUAUGGAAAUCCUGUCCGGAUGUUCUCACGCUAUGGAAAUCCUGUCCGGAUGUUCUCACGCUAUGGAAAUCCUGUCCGGAUGUUCUCACGCUAUGGAAAUCCUGUCCGGAUGUUCUCACGCUAUGGAAAUCCUGUCCGGAUGUUCUCACGCUAUGGAAAUCCUGUC